GACGAACGCUGGCGGCGUGCUUAACACAUGCAAGUCGAACGGAAAGGCCCUGCUUUUGUGGGGUGCUCGAGUGGCGAACGGGUGAGUAACACGUGAGUAACCUGCCCUUGACUUUGGGAUAACUUCAGGAAACUGGGGCUAAUACCGGAUAGGAGCUCCUGCUGCAUGGUGGGGGUUGGAAAGUUUCGGCGGUUGGGGAUGGACUCGCGGCUUAUCAGCUUGUUGGUGGGGUAGUGGCUUACCAAGGCUUUGACGGGUAGCCGGCCUGAGAGGGUGACCGGCCACAUUGGGACUGAGAUACGGCCCAGACUCCUACGGGAGGAAGCAGUGGGGAAUAUUGCACAAUGGGCGGAAGCCUGAGGCAGCAACGCCGCGUGCGGGAUGACGGCCUUCGGGUUGUAAACCGCUUUCGCCUGUGACGAAGCGUGAGUGACGGUAAUGGGUAAAGAAGCACCGGCUAACUACGUG
rnacentral:rRNA from 1 species